rnacentral:rRNA from 1 species
UACGAAGGGGGCUAGCGUUGCUCGGAAUCACUGGGCGUAAAGGGUGCGUAGGCGGGUCUUUAAGUCAGGGGGGAAAUCCUGGAGCUCAACUCCAGAACUGCCUUUGAUACUGAGGAUCUUGAGUUCGGGAGAGGUGAGUGGAACUGCGAGUGAAGAGGUGAAAUUCGUAGAUAUUCGCAAGAACACCAGUGGCGAAGGCGGCUCACUGGCCCGAUACUGACGCUGAGGCACGAAAGCGUGGGGAGCAAACAGG